UGGCAGGUAGCUCAGUAGGUAGAGCGCCUAAACAUCCUUAUUCACCCCUUGCCUGCAAAGGCCGAAGAAUGAGGGUUAUCGCCUUCCAAGCGGGAUGUCGCAGGUUCAAAUCCUGCCCUGCCAC
rnacentral:tRNA from 2 species